GAUGAACGCUGGCGGCGUGCCUAAUACAUGCAAGUCGAGCGAACACAUGAGGAGCUCGCUCCUCUGCCGUUAGCGGCGGACGGGUGAGUAACACGUGGAUAACCUACCUCUAAUACUGGGAUAACUUCGGGAAACCGGAUCUACUACCGGAUCAUAUAUUCAACCGCUUGGUUCAAUAGUGCAAGACGCCUUUGCUGUCACUUAUAGAUGGUUCCGCGCUGCAUUAGCUAGUUGGUAAGGUCACGGCUUACCAAGGCAACGUUGCGUAGCCGACUCGAUAGGGUUGUCGGGCACGCUGGAACUGAGACACGGGCCAGACUCCUACGGGGGGCAGCAGGAGGGAAUCUUCCGCAAAGGGCGGAAGCCUGACGGAGCAAAGCCGGGGGAGUGAAGAAGGGCUUCGGAGCGGAAAACUCUGUUAGUAGGGAAGAACAAAUGUGAGGUUAACAAUGCGCGUCUUGACGGUACCUAAUCAGAAAGGCACGGCUAACUACGGG
rnacentral:rRNA from 1 species